UCCGUAGGGCGCAAGCGUUAUCCGGACUUAUUGGGCGUAAAGAGCUCGUAGGCGGUUUGUCGCGUCUGCCGUGAAAGUCCGGGGCUCAACUCCGGAUCUGCGGUGGGUACGGGCAGACUAGAGUGAUGUAGGGGAGACUGGAAUUCCUGGUGUAGCGGUGAAAUGCGCAGAUAUCAGGAGGAACACCGAUGGCGAAGGCAGGUCUCUGGGCAUUAACUGACGCUGAGGAGCGAAAGCAUGGGGAGCGAACAGG
rnacentral:rRNA from 1 species